CCCGGGGCCGCGCGAGAGGGGAGUUCCCGCGGUGGAGAGGAAUGGGAGAGGGCAGGCGGCUAGCGGGUGGGGGCAGGGCCAGGCCCGGCCGCCGCUUCUUUGCACCUGCAGUACCUCCCCAGCGCCUUGGCCGGCCCUCCCGGUACUCGGCCGUCCCCCUCGGACUGACCGCUCCUGCCCUCCGGCGGUACUACUGCCGAGGCUGGCGAGGCGGGGUGGGGCACGCGGACCUCCCAACCUAGGCCCUCGGCCGAACGGGCCUUGGUGUCCCCACUUCCUGCCACUCCCUAUUGGCUCGAGCGGUCCGGGACAGCCUCAGCGCCCCUCUGAACCCUGAGCUGUGGACCAGACUGACCCCCUUUUCCCCGGCUGCCUCUCUCAUUCUGAGGCAGGACAAUAGGGGACAUCGCGCGUUUGCGUACCGAGUCAGCCCGGGCGGCAAGAAGAGGGUGCCCGAAGGCAGAGGCCGUGGACCGGCUGCGGAGCACCCUCGCGGGGGUCACAACCGAGCGCCCUGCCCAGGCGGACCCAGGGCCCUGCCAUCGCAAGCCUCCCCCAAGCGGCGCUCGGCUCUUUCGCGUCGAAAACAAAGACUAAUCCGAUACCCCCGCCCUGCCUCCCAGAGGAGGGGGAACGGGCGCGUCGCGGAGGGUAACAGAGGAGGACAGGGUUCAGGAGGGGCUUGGUUAGCCUCCGAGAGACCUUGGAGCGACCAAGCCCUAAAACCUGGAGCAAACAGGUGACUUUAAAAAGUCACCCUGGGCUAUGUUCCACGUAGGGGGUAAGGGGCAAAGCCGCAAGAAUACUUCCAAGUUGCCAAACUAACCAUUCUCUCUGCUGCUUUCUUCCCCUCACCUGUUGUGCAGGCCAAGUUGAAAUUCCAGGUUAGAUUCAGCUCCACCCAUCUGGCCUGACUGCCAGACUGGUGCCCGCAGCUGCCUUCCACCUACCUGGGUUGCUGUGGAGAAGGGUGGGUCUCUAACACACACACACACACACACACACACACGGGCAAGUCCUGGCAGAAACAGCCACGGAGCGGACUAGCCUGACCAGUUUGGGCGGUGCUCACCAAGCCAGGUACCUUGCAGCGGUCCCCGCCCGCUGAAGCAAACUACUCAGUCAGAACUGGAAAAAGAGCAUUUGGCUGGCUAUUUAGAAGGGAAAAAAAGUAACAGAUCUCAAGUAGCGCUAUCCAGAAAGCCCUAGGCGGUAGAAGCGGCCCCCAUUCUGUCUGGAACUUCCCUCUCACAGGCCUGAUUUUGACAGCUGGCUCCAGUGGCUAGGUUGUCAGCUGUCAGGUGGGUUGUGAACAUGGUUGAAAUACCUAUUUCCUACCAUGCAUGGCCUUUGGAAAGACCAAAGAGUUUCUGUUCAGGGAAGUAAGACUAGAAUUGAGAGGAAAUGCCACUAAAGUGUUAUUUUCAAACAUGGAAAGUUGUGGGCUUGUAGCUUUCAAUGUAAUAAAUUGUUAGUGUUUUAAAUAUUAAAGAAAAUGUGGAAAGUAUAGGAAAUUA
rnacentral:lncRNA from 1 species